rnacentral:rRNA from 1 species
UGGGGAAUAUUGGACAAUGGGGGCAACCCUGAUCCAGCAAUACCGCGUGUGUGAAGAAGGCCUGAGGGUUGUAAAGCACUUUCAAUUGGGAAGAAAAGUUAGCAAUUAAUACCUGUUAACCUUGACGUUACCUUUAGAAGAAGCACCGGCUAACUCCGUGCCAGCAGCCGCGGUAAUACGGAGGGUGCAAGCGUUAAUCGGAAUUACUGGGCGUAAAGCGUGCGUAGGUGGUUUAUUAAGUCAGAUGUGAAAUCCCCGGGCUUAACCUGGGAACUGCAUUUGAAACUGGUAAACUAGAGUAUAGGAGAGGAAAGUGGAAUUUCAGGUGUAGCGGUGAAAUGCGUAGAUAUCUGAAGGAACAUCAAUGGCGAAGGCGACUUCCUGGACUAAAACUGACGCUGAGGAACGAAAGCGUGGGUAGCAAACG